AUGCGCGGGGCGCCUCCCCCUCUUGCAAGGAUCGCGCGCUCCUCGCCUGGCGCUGCUCGCUUUUUUCCCGCAGGAUGCAGGUGCUCUCGGCCCGCGCGCAGCUCGGCGGAGGGAGGGCGCGGGGCGGGGCGGGCGCGGGGCGAGCCGGCCCCCUCGGGGCUGUGGGGCGGCCCGUGGGCCGAGCUGCCCCCUAGAGGCGCCUUCCCGCCGCGCGCGCCCCGGCCCGGCCCCGCGCGCACCGAUAUAAGCGGCGCGGCCGGCGGCCCGAGAGCGCAGUGCCUGGCGAGCGGCGCCCCGAGAGGACGAGAGAGGCGCGCGGAGACGGCGAGUUUGAAGUGGAAAUGCGGAAAACAAAACUUCAGACUGGAAAAAUAAGGAACUGAGAAAAAUGAAAAUCGACAGAUUUGUCCAUCACUAUGGAACAGUAGUGCUGGCUGCAAGGCCAAGUGUCUUCUCCAGUUUAAAUUAGGGUUUUGCAAAUAUAUCCCACCCUUGUGGGUUGAUUCAGGGUUGCAUACAGAACCACAGAUUGUGUGCUGAACUUCCACAUUCCCGCUUAUGCAGGGCUGUCAGGUAUUCGUUAUUUUAAAGGUCGCCCCCCUUUACAGAGUGUAACAGAUGUUAUUUAAUUUUCAACAUGCCUUACCCUAUAAAAUUCAACAGAAAAGGCAUUGCAGCUUUUACCUUUAAGGAAAAUUAAUCUGUUUGCCACUUUGACAUAUGAAGUAAAUGUUCUUUGUUUUGGAUAUGAACAGCCAGAACCUCCGACUUUGCUGGACUGUGAUCCAUAUACGUUACUGUUACCCAGGACUCAGAAGCCUGCCUGUGGAUCAUUGGUUGACCAACUUGGUAUAGAAUUCAAACUUUAAACUCUCCUUGCUUUUUGCAGAUUAUACAAGUGCAUUCUGAAAUCUAGCUCUGCAUCCAAAUGCAAUAACGGAGGAAGAGUACAAAAUGCUUGAUUAUUCAGGUUCAGUGCCACAAACGGAACCCACAUGAAAUGUUUGUAUAAUGGCAGAAAAUGAAUAGCUGUGGUAUGAAAUCAGUGGGCCACUAUCAUUGGGUGUGUGGCUGCAGUUUCAUUUAUUUAUUUCUCAGUAGAGUUCGGUGGGGUAAACUCCUGAACUGAUACAUUCCCCUGUGUCAUUUCUAGAAAUGUGACAUGGAACUUCUUCUUCUUCUUUUUUAGGUCCCAAUGGAUACAGCCACCAACAGUGGUAGGGAGCAAGAAAGGCAAGAAAAGAGCUGGCGGAAUCCCCUUUUGCUGAAGCUGUUCUUUGACUUGCCAAUCAAGUGGAGUGGAAGAAGAAACCUUGUCCUUUCCCCCCUUCUAAAGCUUCUGGGCACACUGCUAGAUUUGAAGAGGUGUUUAUAGAUGACUUCAAUUAUCCUCCUCACAUAGACUGGGGACACGUAUUCUAGUCAAGACAAAGAGGUAAAACUGUGCCCUAGAACAGUUGGUCAUGGAAUCAACCAGGAAGUAUAGCUGUCUUAAGAUUUAUUUUUCUAAAAAAGAAGUAUUUUCAUAGUCAUUAAAGAAUUUAAAGUAGGCUUUGGAGCAGUGGUUUCUCAUUCUGUGUGCUUGUCAAACUAGCAAAGUGGCAAUGCACUCAGACACCAGCGUGUGUUGAAUUUUUCAGCUUUCAGAUUCCAAAUAUGCAGGGUGCUUAUUUUUUUGUAACAUGACCUGGGAAUGCACAAGGUGUUUUGGUUAAACUACUGCAAUUUAAUUUUGCUUGGUACAUAAAAUAUGUGUAAAAUCAAAUAGAAAUCAUUACAAAUGAUUGUCAAGUACUUGAAGUUAUACAUCAUCAUCAUCAUUAUUUAGCAUUACCUGACAUUUUCAGAAGGGAAAAUUAAAAUGCUUUGGUUUUCCAAAAGCAGUUUAUAUGCUUCUUCAUCAAACGUAGACAUACCAAGCUAAAUGUUGUUCAGUCACAAAAACAAUAGCAAAUUUGAAUUCCUCACCUCCAAAAAUCAUAUUUUAAAGACCACUCACUAAAGAAAUGUGCAAAAACCAAGUUUCACUCCUUAAAAUUGCAUGCCCUAGACGGCCAGCCUGGCCACCUGUUCAUCUUUAUACCUUCCCUGCCUAUACUGUCUCUUAGAAUCAAGAGCUGUUUUGAUGUAGUUACUAGACACUUCUGCUACUGAGAACUUAAUUAGUGUUCAGUGUUCCUAUGUAAAUAAAUGGAGGAAGGGACAAGAGAACCUCCAUAUUAUCCGACUGUCAUAACUAGAAAUUACCAUGAAAUUUACCACAGCUUCUUAAAAUCUCUCCAUUUUUAACCAUCAUUAUUUCAACAAACCCCAAAUCAUUAUUAAGAGUGUAGCAGGAAGUUGCAUCACGCUCUAUUGCCACUCGUACCAGCAGUGUGCUGUUAAAUCAUAACAAACUUUUUCCAUAUUCUUGUGAAAAUACAUCUUCCUGUUGCAUAAAAUAUUGUUAAAUAACUCUGGGCACAAGCCAGAAAAUGCUUGCCAAGACUGAGUUUAUGUGAAAGCAAUGGAAUGGAACGUAUUUGUGACUAAGAUUGCAGCGCAACCCUAUCACAGGUACCUAGGAGAAAGUUACACUGAACUCAGUAGGACUAACUUUUGGGUAAACAGUAUAAAAUUGCAGUGCAUCUUCUUUCAUUGCAACUAAUUUUUGGAUUGUGUCUAAAGUGAUUGGUAUUUAAAUAGCCAGGUUUUUUUUUUUAAUAUAUCCAAAGAAAUUGUCAGGGACUGGGCAGAGGAGGAAUGGGGGAGACUUCCUCCCCAGCCUGACCCUUCCAGAGAAGAGGUAGACAGUUCAGAAUUACAACAGGGGUUUGAGGGAGGUCACAGGUCAGAGGCAGAGGAGAGGAAGCUGGGAAAUAAUGGGAGAGGAGGAGGAGGAAGGACCAGGGGGGUGACAGCUGACGGACUCAGUGUCUUUAGAAAGUAUUCCAGACCCUCCUCCCAGAACCUGGCGGGCCUUGAAAGUAGGAGAGCAAAGAGCUCAAAGGCAGAGGGCACAUUUCACUUCUUCACUUCACCCGUAGUGAUGACUCAUGAAGAAGUGGGAGAGAUUCACUAGGGACAACGUCAUUAUUCUGAGAGGCUGCAUUCCCAAGCCUCUUUCUGUGAAUACUGAAUAAAAGCAGAUGGUAAGGAUUUUUCCUUGUCUUGUCUGAUCCUGGCAACCUGCCAUAGGGGUUGGCUCCUCUGCUGCCUGACAGAAAUCUACUGUUCUGCUCCAGAUGAAAAACAUGUUCUUUAUUGCACAACUCUAGUUUCAGCAUUGAGUACAGUGCGCUCACAACUUACGUGGGGCUUACGGUCCAAAGACUGUGCCUAAAGCCAAAAUCAUGUAUAGUCAAAGCACACUGGAUUCAAUGGCGGGUGGGAUUGCCAAAGUCCCUUUUUCAGAGCCCCUCCCCUCUAAUUUCCACCCCCCUUUUUCCUCUUUUUUUUUUGCCACACACAUAAAGCUGAACAUGCACAAGUUAAAUGUGUGUAAGUUGAAGGCUUACUGUAUCACAUUAGUUGCUUGCAGAAUUGAAGCAUUAGAUGACAAAACUCCAGAGCUAUUCAGAUUUGAAAUGGUUUCCCAGUUAUGACACCACUUUGAAUGUUGCCAUAUUUGAUAACCUUUUUGAAGCACUAGCCAGUUCAGGUUAGGAAAGGGCACUAUUCUCUCUCUCUCUCUCUCUCCCCCUCCCCACGUACAUGCAUUGUUGUUGUUUUGUCGUUUAGUCGUGUCUGACUUUUCGUGACCCCCUGGACCAGAGCAUGCCAGGCACUUCUGUCUUCGCCUGCCUCCCGCAGUUUAGUCAAACUCAUGCUGGUAGCUUCGAGAACACCAUCCAACCAUCUCAUCCUCUGAUGUCCCCUUCUCCGUGUGCCCUCCAUCUUUCCCAACAUCAGGGUCUUUUCUAGGGAGUCUUCUCUUCUCAUGAGGUGGCCAAAGUAUUGGAGCCUUAGCUUCAGGAUCUGUCCUUCCAGUGAGCACUCAGGGCUGAUUUCCUUCAGAAUGGAUAGGUUUGAUCUUCCUGCAGUCCAUGGGACUCUCAAGAGUCUCCUCCAGCACCAGAAUUCAAAAGCAUCCAUUCUUCGGCGAUCAGCCUUCUUUAUGGUCCAGCUUUCACUUCCAUACAUCACUACUGGGAAAACCAUAGCUUUUACUAUACGUACAUGCAUACAUACAUACACAAUGUACUUAAAGGGAGAGGUCCAUAGAAGAACCAAUUAUGAAAUCUUGAAGUGCUGAGAAUGGAUUUCCAAGCAAAUGAAAAAGGAAUGCUAUGGAAACCCCACUUUUAUGAUUCUUGUUUAGUUUUAUAAUUGAAAACACAUGGCUGGCCAUCUGGCUAUCCAAGAAUCAAAGGAUUUGCACUUAACAGUAAUUUACUUGCCCUGAGACUCGUAUGAUCCCUACAUGUGUUUUCUCCUCAUCUUU
rnacentral:lncRNA from 1 species